rnacentral:rRNA from 1 species
UACGUAGGUGGCGAGCGUUGUCCGGAUUUACUGGGCGUAAAGGGAGCGUAGGCGGACUCUUAAGUGAGAUGUGAAAUACCCGGGCUCAACUUGGGUGCUGCAUUUCAAACUGGAAGUCUAGAGUGCAGGAGAGGAGAGUGGAAUUCCAUGUGUAGCGGUGAAAUGCGUAGAUAUAUGGAGGAACACCAGUGGCGAAGGCGACUCUCUGGUCUGUAACUGACGCUGAGGCUCGAAAGCGUGGGGAGCAACAGGAUUAGA